AGCCAAGGACUGAACUUACCAGAGAGCCCAUUUGCGUCUCCAAUAGCUAGCAGCAUUUCUACAGUCAUAUAGGUUCAGCACACAGAAGAAUUAUAGAGUUCAGAGUAACAAAGGCAACAGCAACAUCUUUGGUUUGAUACACAGCAGCACCUCUUUUUUUUUUGCGUUUUUCCUUCCAUUUUCCCUUUAACUUGUUCACCAAGGUUUACAGCUAGUACAAAACGGCUUAUGAAAGAAACAAGAAGAAUCUCCUCCUAAAGGAAGUAGCAAAGCAGAAUAUGAUACACAGAAAUACAUGUAAGAAGGCUACAGUUUUUCUAAUGUUAGAGAAACAAUGCAAGAAGGUUUGAAUAUUAAGUAGCGAAGAUGUAAUUAGUUUUUAGCGGAACAAAAGGAAUUAGAACAUAUGCAGUGUUUGGAGAAGUUAAUGUUUAAAACCUCUGCAACACUCACUGAUAGAUGAAAUAACUUCAACAGAAGGAUUAGUAGUUGGCUUAUACCAGUUUAGCAAAAGUUGUUUAUAGUUUUGCCAUUUUCUGUUUACACAGUGGGCAUGCUUUUGCCUUUCUUUUGGCUUAGGCACAAAGAAUGAUUAUCCUCAAUUCUCAAUAGUUGCUUGCCUGUUGGAGUUGAUUUUUUAUUUAACCUCUCUCUCUCUAUUGAUUUUUUGCCCCUCAUUUUCUUAAAGCUUUAAUUACCUUUAUAGCCAUGAUGACACAUGAUGGA
rnacentral:misc_RNA from 1 species